UUCCCCUCUGUGUAUGACAUCACUGCUGGACAAAGCGGCAAGGAGUGGUUUGUCUCUGUGAAGAGAGGAGCGUCCCAAAUCAAUGGGACAUACCCACGCACUAUAAAAACAUCCUUCAGCGUUAUCUAGCGUUGUCACAGUUAGUUCUAUCGGCGGUAGCAGUUUUCAAAGUGCUUUGCUGUUGUGAGAGGAAUGAGCGACUCCUGAAAACCACAUCGGCAGAGCUGUUCAGAGAAAGGAGUAAAACUGUUGCUGGAUGGUUGCUGGUCUGAAAGUUUCGUCCUCCUGACAUGCGCUGUGUCUGAAGAAGUUGACCCGCAGUUUGAAUCCAGCUUGGAAGACCAUGCUGUCCCUCCUGCUGCCUGCCAUGCUGGCCGUUCAAGCUAUGGCUAUGAUGGAAGUGUUCGUCCCAGAGCAGCCAGUGGUGGCGCUGCACAGCAGGGACGCCAUUCUCAACUGCUCCUUCAGCCCCGCUGGUCCCUUCAACCUGUCUGAUCUGAGCGUCUUCUGGCAGCUGACAGACACCAAACGCAGUGUGCAUGGGUACCAGGAGGGACACAACCAGCUGGCAGACCAAGCAGAAAGGUUUGCCAACCGUACCAGCCUGUUCCCCGCCCAGCUGGGCCUGGGCAACACUUCACUCCUGCUGAGCAGGGUGGUGGUGGCUGACGAAGGCAGCUAUACCUGCUUCGUCAGGGUGCAGGACUACGGCAGUGCUGCUCUGCUGCUGCAGGUGGCCGCACCCUACUCCAAACCUGUCGUGACUUUAGAGCCUGAAUCCAAUCUGCGGCCAGGUGAUGAGGUGGCCCUGACCUGUGUGGCCUAUGGUGGAUAUCCGGAAGCAGACGUGAUUUGGCAGGAUGGGGGCGGGCGCAACCUGACAGACAACAUCACCAAUUCUUUGGUGGCCAAUGAGGAGGGGUUGUUCACCAUGACUAGCGUGCUGAAAGUUAUGCUGGAGCCUAACAGCACCUACAGCUGCAAACUGAUCAACCCUCUACUGGGUGAGGAAGGGUACGCCUCAGUCACAAUCACAGGUCAGAACAUCGCGUUCCCCCCGGUGGCUCUGUGGGUAACUAUUGGCCUGGCUGUGUGUCUACUGGUGCUGCUCAUUGCCCUGGCUGCUGUCUGCCGCAGGAAGAUCAAGGAGAGCUGCGAGGAAGCUAGGAGAGAAGCUGAAGAGGCAAGGAGCUGGAAGAAGAGGAGUCAAAGACAGCCAUGACACUGCUGAACAGCUAAGGCCAGGAGAUUCAAGUAUUGCUCUAAGGACACAGUGGUCUCCAGAGGCUCUGGGAGCCGGGGCCAGGCGACCGGUAGGAGAUGAGUCUGGCGCGUAUAAUCCCACUCCACCUAUCCAUCAACCUGGAGACUAUUUCCAGCAUCCCCCUACAGAAUGUCAAAGCCUUGCUGAGUGGAAGAUGAGUCCAUCAUCUCCUUUCUAAGACUUUCCCUCGAGUUUUCAUCAAAAACACAUAAACACAUCAUGUGCCAUUAUUUCCUAUCGCCCUCCCUCCCUCUCUUUUUAUUUUUUUUGUCUGUCAACGGAAGGGAGAGGGGGGGCAGUGAGUGAAUGCAGUAGAGUGCAGUAUGCAGAAGAGGAGCUGCGUUUGAAACAUACAGGAUGUGACAGGAUCCUUUCACUGUCGCUGACAUCACUCUGCAUGGGUUGUGAUGGGGCGUGUACCAGAGAUCGCCUGUCUAAUAGGAAGUGAGACACUUAAAGAGAUGACCCUGCUUUAGUUGCCAUCAGCAUCUCUCUGCCAGGGAGAGAGAGAGAGAGAGACGGAGAUUCUGGCUCUCCUAUUACUCCCGCACUUGCUAAUUAGCGUCUGUCGGCGGAGUAACUUGUACCUGUCAGUGUGUGCCGCUCUCCUAUACUCACUAACUUGAGGGGAUUGAAAUUGAAUGCCAGCUAAGCUCCAACAAACUGCAAAUGGUGCAUGGGAUACACCCUGAUUUCCUCACUGACCUGACAGCCUUAUAUGUAAGAAAUUGUUUCUAAUGAAUGAGGACUAUCUCAGCUCUUUUCUUCUUCUUUUUUUUAACACUCAUGUGGAAUGUUGUAUCACAUAAUGCUCGGGGCUGUACAGGUUGUUUCAUUGCUUUUUUUUAUAGGUACUCGAGCAAGUCCCCAUGCCCUAUGUCCAUGUAUGAAUGCCAAAGCCGUUUUGUGUCAGAUAACCCAGUGCCAAUUUACAUUAAAGGGACAUGGUGAAACUG